ACGAAGCAUUUACACGGAUUUCCUUCGGGCUUUAAGGGUUUAUGACUGAGUGGCGGACGGGUGAGUAACGCGUGGGCAACCUGCCCCGUACCGGGGGACAACAUCCGGAAACGGCUGCUAAUACCGUAUACGUUUUAAGGACCGCAUGGUCCGUAAAACAAAACUCCGGUGGUACGGGAUGGGCCCGCGUCUGAUUAGCUCGUUGGCGGGGUAACGGCCCACCAAGGCGACGAUCAGUAGCCGGCCUGAGAGGGCGGCCGGCCACAUUGGGACUGAGACACGGCCCAGACUCCUGCGGGAGGCAGCAGUGGGGAAUAUAUGCACAAUGGGGGAAACCCUGAUGCAGCGACGCCGCGUGAGCGAGGAAGUACCUCGCUAUCUAAAGCUCUGUCAGCAGGGAAGAAAAUGACAAUACCUGACCAAGAAGCCCCGGCUAACUACGUGCCAGCAGCCGCGGUAAUACGUAGGGGGCAAGCGUUAUCCGGAUUCACUGGGCGUAAAGGGAGCGCAGGCGGCACGGCAAGUCUGAUGUGAAAACCCGGGGCUCAACCCCGGGACUGCAUUGGAAACUGCCGGGCUGGAGUGUCGGAGGGGCAGGCGGAAUUCCUGGUGUAGCGGUGAAAUGCGUAGAUA
rnacentral:rRNA from 1 species